rnacentral:rRNA from 1 species
ACACGGAGGGUGCAAGCGUUAUUCGGAAUUAUUGGGCGUAAAGGGCGCGUAGGCGGCUAAACAGGUCAGGUGUGAAAGCCCGGGGCUUAACCCCGGAAGUGCAUUUGAAACCGUUUGGCUUGAGUAUGGGAGAGGAGAGCGGAAUUCCUGGUGUAGAGGUGAAAUUCGUAGAUAUCAGGAGGAACACCGGUGGCGAAGGCGGCUCUCUGGACCAAUACUGACGCUGAGGCGCGAAGGCGUGGGUAGC